GAGGGAGGAAAGGAGGAACAGAUGGGGGUCACCCAGGUCCUAAUUCUCAUGCAAAGGCCCCCAUCCCUCUCCCCUCUCUCCUGGAGGAGUCCUGCCCUGAGCUGCAUCUUCUCUCACUACCCCGAUGACGUCAAUCCAGUUCGAGGCCAUAGAUCUUCUGGGGUGCCUACUGUGUGUGCGUCUUUCACUUCUAAUAAUUAACAUUAGCUUCCAUUAAGAUACUUUCCCUCUGCUGGGUUAUGAGAAACUGAAACAGGAAAAAGACCUAGUUUCCUACUCUCAGAGUUUAUCUUUUCCUAGUCCCAAAUCUAAAUAGGUCAAAAAUCUGUAGCCUUGUGUGCGGAAGAUAAUGAAUGAAUGUACGUGGAUCUGACUGUCAACCCCUCAUGGCAACCUUGGGUUACACUUACAACCUUAUAGGACCAUGGGGUAGCCUGCGGGCAUCUUCAGUUACCGCGUGAUGGUCCUUCUCCCUCUAGUUUCUUGCCUGCGUAUCACACACCGCUAGGCCCAUCCUGCCCGAACAUACGCGGCCUGCCUUCCGUGGUUAUCCAAAGUUGCCGGCUUGGAAUUCAAGAUCCGCCACAGCCAGUCCCAACCCGCCUACCACUAAUCUUCCUCUGUCCUUGUAAUGUUUCCAAGUUCUUCGGAGGGUAAGGGUGCAAUGGGCAGAGUGAAUGAAUGGAUCGAUGAAUGAAUCCAUAAAUAAAACAAUAAAAUGGGCAAGCAAACAUCAAAAAACUCAUCUCCAUCUCCAAGCUUUGGCUCAUGCAGUUACCACAGGAAUUGUUCUUCUCCCUGGCUUUCAUCCAUCCAGUUUCGAUGAAGGUCUACUUCCUAUCUCAAAGGUUUCUCAAAUUCAGUACAAUCCAAGUGAAAUACGUGAUCUCUACACUCUGUAUCUCAGGGACUGGAACCACCGCCGCCAAUCAAGUUUUCGCAGCCCAGAAAGGUUUGGCUUGGGGAAGACAGGCAUGAUGUCCACAGUCAUCUGACUGGCUGGCUGGGUUUGCAAGCCUAGCCCUCCAUUUGCUUCCACAUCUUUUAGGGCAAUUUCUUCCACUUGGGCUACACUGCCAACAAGGCUGCCACGAGAGAGGGUGGCAGAUAUGACGCGUGCAUUCAGGUCAGCAGUGCAAAUCUCCGACAUGGCAUUUUUCCAUUCAGGAAAAUGUCUGUCAGCCCCUUGACCAACUUAUUUGAAGAUCCUGGCAAUGAAGUGGCUGUUACACAAGUGGCACAGAGACCUCUGCUGCUCUUUGAAAGAGACUGCUUCUGAAGGAACAUGAAACUGCAAAAAAUAUCGGCUUGUAUUAGACUGUGACUAUGCGUUACAUGUGUUUUAAAGAAAAGAAGGAAAUUGAAGAGAAGCAUGAAGUCAUUUCAAGACUGAUGCUGAGCUAUCCUACCACUCAUUUCACUGGAACUUGGGCUGAUGAGAGAAAGUAUCUCUUCCAUUAUUACAAUUUUCUCUAGGUUAUUCUGAAAAGUUCUACUCUGGUUUCAGUGAUGGAAAAAAAAACAAAAAACCCAACCCAACAGAACCUUAUUCUCCAUUUCACUAAAUCAAAAAUCCACUCUCAAAUUGUUUAUAUUCUCGGUCUCCUUAAAACACUGGCUUCAUAUGUUUUAUGUUCUGCAUAUUUUCACUUAUAUCAUGGACAUUCCCCAUGUUCUU